GCAAGUCGAACGGUAACAGGCCGCAAGGUGCUGACGAGUGGCGAACGGGUGAGUAAUGCAUCGGAACGUGCCCAGUCGUGGGGGAUAACGCAGCGAAAGCUGCGCUAAUACCGCAUACGAUCUAUGGAUGAAGGCGGGGGACCGUAAGGCCUCGCGCGAUUGGAGCGGCCGAUGUCAGAUUAGGUAGUUGGUGGGGUAAAGGCUCACCAAGCCAACGAUCUGUAGCUGGUCUGAGAGGACGACCAGCCACACUGGAACUGAGACACGGUCCAGACUCCUACGGGAGGCAGCAGUGGGGAAUUUUGGACAAUGGGCGCAAGCCUGAUCCAGCAAUGCCGCGUGCAGGAAGAAGGCCUUCGGGUUGUAAACUGCUUUUGUACGGAACGAAACGGUCUGAGUUAAUACCUCGGGCUAAUGACGGUACCGUAAGAAUAAGCACCGGCUAACUACGUGCCAGCAGCCGCGGUAAUACGUAGGGUGCAAGCGUUAAUCGGAAUUACUGGGCGUAAAGCGUGCGCAGGCGGUGAUGUAAGACAGUCGUGAAAUCCCCGGGCUCAACCUGGGAAUUGCGAUUGUGACUGCAUCGCUGGAGUGCGGCAGAGGGGGAUGGAAUUCCGCGUGUAGCAGUGAAAUGCGUAGAUAUGCGGAGGAACACCGAUGGCGAAGGCAAUCCCCUGGGCCUGCACUGACGCUCAUGCACGAAAGCGUGGGGAGCAAACAGGAUUAGAUACCCUGGUAGUCCACGCCCUAAACGAUGUCAACUGGUUGUUGGGUCUCUUCUGACUCAGUAACGAAGCUAACGCGUGAAGUUGACCGCCUGGGGAGUACGGCCGCAAGGU
rnacentral:rRNA from 1 species